UACGUAGGGGGCUAGCGUUGUCCGGAAUCAUUGGGCGUAAAGCGCGUGUAGGCGGCCCGGUAAGUCCGCUGUGAAAGUCGGGGGCUCAACCCUCGAAUGCCGGUGGAUACUGUCGGGCUCGAGUGCGGAAGAGGCGAGUGGAAUUCCUGGUGUAGCGGUGAAAUGCGCAGAUAUCAGGAGGAACACCGAUUGCGAAGGCAGCUCGCUGGGACGUUACUGACGCUGAGACGCGAAAGCGUGGGGGAGCAAACAGG
rnacentral:rRNA from 1 species